rnacentral:rRNA from 1 species
CCUAUGAAGGAGAUUUCGGUCAACGGAAUAGGUUGCUUAGUGGCGGACGGGUGAGUAACGCGUGAGGAACCUGCCUUUCAGAGGGGGACAACAGUUGGAAACGACUGCUAAUACCGCAUAACACAUAGGUGUCGCAUGGCAUUUAUGUCAAAGAUUUAUCGCUGAAAGAUGGCCUCGCGUCUGAUUAGCUAGUUGGUGAGGUAACGGCUCACCAAGGCGACGAUCAGUAGCCGGACUGAGAGGUUGGCCGGCCACAUUGGGACUGAGAUACGGCCCAGACUCCUACGGGAGGCAGCAGUGGGGAAUAUUGGGCAAUGGGCGCAAGCCUGACCCAGCAACGCCGCGUGAAGGAAGAAGGCUUUCGGGUUGUAAACUUCUUUUGACAGGGAAGAGUAGAAGACGGUACCUGUCGAAUAAGCCACGGCUAACUACGUGCCAGCAGCCGCGGUAAUACGUAGGUGGCAAGCGUUGUCCGGAUUUACUGGGUGUAAAGGGCGUGUAGCCGGGUUGACAAGUCAGAUGUGAAAUCCUGCGGCUUAACCGCAGAACUGCAUUUGAAACUGUUGAUCUUGAGUACUGGAGAGGCAGACGGAAUUCCUAGUGUAGCGGUGAAAUGCGUAGAUAUUAGGAGGAACACCAGUGGCGAAGGCGGUCUGCUGGACAGCAACUGACGGUGAGGCGCGAAAGCGUGGGGAGCAAACAGGAUUAGAUACCCCGGUAGUCCACGCUGUAAACGAUGGAUACUAGGUGUGCGGGGACUGACCCCCUGCGUGCCGCAGCUAACGCAAUAAGUAUCCCACCUGGGGAG